rnacentral:rRNA from 1 species
GUGAGGAAUAUUGCGCAAUGGAGGCAACUCUGACGCAGCCAUGCCGCGUGCAGGAAGAAGGCGCUACGCGUUGUAAACUGCUUUUAACCGGGAAGAAACCCCAGGACGUGUCCUGGGUUGACGGUACCGGAGGAAUAAGCACCGGCUAACUUCGUGCCAGCAGCCGCGGUACUACGAAGGGUGCAAGCGUUAUCCGGAUUCCUUGGGUUUAAAGGGUGCGUAGGCGGAGCGUUAAGUCAGUGGUGAAAUCCUGCAGCUUAACUGUAGACUUGCCAUUGAUACUGGCGCUCUUGAGUGCGCUUGAAGUGGGCGGAAUGUGCCGUGUAGCGGUGAAAUGCUUAGAUAUGGCACAGAACACCAAUUGCGAAGGCAGCUCACUAAGGCGAUACUGACGCUGAGGCACGAAAGCGUGGGGAUCGAACAGGAUUAGAAACCCCAGUAGUCC